ACAUCUUUUCAUGUAUUUUAUUUGAGAUAAUACCUGCCCAAUGAUUUAUUUAAUGGCCGCGGUAUUUUGACCGUGCAAAGGUAGCGUAAUCAUUAGUCUAUUAAUUGUAGUCUUGUAUGAAUGGUUUGACGAAACGUUAACUGUCUUCAUUUUGUUUUUUAGAAAUUAAAUUUUUGGUUAAAAUGCUUAAAUUUUAUUAUUGGACGAGAAGACCCUAUAGAUCUUUANUUUUCUUAUUUUAUAAAAUUUUUUGUUGAUUUAUUUUUUAUAAAUUAAUAUUAGUUUUGUUGGGGAGACAAGAGGAUAUAAUUAACUCUUUUUUAUUUAUAUUCAUUGAUUUAUGUUUAUUUGACCUUAUAUUAUUGUUAUAAGAUAUAGAUACCUUAGGGAUAACAGCGUUAUUUAUUUUGCGAGUUCAUAUCGACAGAUUAGAUUGCGACCUCGAUGUUGGAUUAAGGUUUCAUUUAGGUGUAGUAGCUAAA
rnacentral:rRNA from 1 species